rnacentral:rRNA from 1 species
GCCAGCAGCCAUGUCACCCUGCAACUUACAAUUGGCAGCCCACUGAAGCUAAGUAGGUGUGAGCUUGGUCAGUACCUGGAUGGGAGACAUCCUGGGAAAAACUAAGGUUGCUGCUUGAA